CUCAGAUUAAAGUGAGAAAGAGUUAGGAAUACUCAAAUAAUUGUUUUAUGUCUUCUCUGCCUUGAUCUGAACUUAAAAUUUUGUGGAGGGAGAGACUAUUGACCCUCUUUCUCCAUUUAUUGUUUCUAUACAGGGACAAUGACGAAAGACAUGUUUAUACAAUAAGAUUAAUUACAUUUCAGUAACUUUGAUCCAAUUCAGAAUGAUGCUGCCCUCAAGUAAAAAAAACUUUUUCUUUUUCUUUUCUUUUCUUUUUUUUUUUUUGGAGUCUCACUCUGUUGCCCAGGCUGGAGUGCAAUGGUACGAUCUCAGCUCACUGCAACUUCCGUCUCCCAGAUUCAAGCAAUUCUCGUGCCUCAGGCUUCUGAGUAGCUGGGAUUACAGGCACACACCACCAGGCCCAGCUAAUUUUUCUAUUUUUAGUAGAGACGGGGUUUCACCAUGUUGGCCAGGCUGGUCUUGAACUCCUGACCUUGUGAUCCGCCUGCCUCGGCUUCCCAAGUAAAAAACUUUUUUUUCCACUUACUAUUUUGGGGAUAUUUAAGUGAAUCUGAAAUUACUAUUGGAUUUUUUUUUUCUCUUGAAACAGAGUUUUGCUCUUGUUGCCCAGGCUGGAGUGCAAUGGUGCAAUCUCGGCUCGCAGCAACCUCCACCUCCCAGGUUCAAGUGAUUCUCCUACCUCAGCCUCCCAAGUAGCUGGGAUUACAGGCACCCGCCACCACGCCCAGCUAAUUUUUGUAUUUUUACGGAGACAGGGUUUCACCAUGUUGGCCAUGCUGUUUUCACCAUGUUGGCCGGGCUGUUUUCGAACUCCUGACCUCAGAUGAUCCAUCUGCCUCCCAAAAUGCUGGGAUUACAGACGUGAGCCACCUCACCCGGCCCUACUAUUGGAUUUUUAAAGACAGAUAUUUAAGAACAUUCUUUGCUAGAACUGAGGACAAUUUAAACUUAUUCCAUUCAAGAAAACUUAGUGCAGAAUGCAGACUUUCCCUUUCAAGUAUAUGUAAAAGUUAACUUCUUUUUUUUUCCACCUCUGGAAGACAAUGUACAAUGUAGUACUCUUCAGAUACACUAAUGAGACCCUUUUUAUACUUUAACAGGGACGUAAACAUUUCCUUUUGUAACAAAAAUAAAUUAUGGGUUUCAUUUUAAAAAGCCUAUCCCCAAGAAAUGUUUUGAGUGUUAAUCUAAGUAAGAUUUCAUUAUUCUCAUAAGUAAAACUUUGAGUUCAAAUAAAGUUUUGAUUUUUUUUUUGAUAAUUGAAGGUAUAUGUAGGGGCUCAACCUAAAUGCCAGGGAAUUAACCCUCCAUAGGAAGUAAUCAUAUAAUUCUAAGUCAGUAUAUAAUUGAAUUGAUGUAGGAUUUUUAAGUAUUCUCUCAACUAUAUUAAAUGAAUUGUUUUUCCAGUUUUCUAGUGGUCCAAAAACUUAAAUAGGCUGCAAAUCUGCUGUGAUUCAAACCGUGCAAUUCCUCACAGGCAUCUCUGACUUGAGGGACUAAGUUCCUGUAAUUAUGUGUCCUGAAAUUAACUGGGUUGCCAGAUAGGUUUUCUCAACCUUUAAUAGCUUGUUGGAAGGCUUACAGAAUGCUCUUUAUUAGAAAUAUUUGGAACUACUUCCCCCCUUUUGGAUACUCAAAUUAGUGUUUUUCUAGUUCUCUGGCAUAAUUUGUAUAGCUGCUUCCUUUGUAGAAAGUAAGCUUAUGUUCUGCUUUUCCCUUUCUGGUUGGCUGGAGUGCUAGGUCACUCUUAUCUGUGCUCUAGGAAACUUUUAGAUUUCUACUUAGCUUAGGAUGACACCCUGAAAGAUUUAGGGUCUGCUUCUGUUUGGGUUAGGGGGUAGACACUUGAAUUCAUUGGUCUUUUUUUUGGCUCACUGCAGCCUUGACCUCCAGCACUCAAGGGAUCCUCCCACUUCAGCCUCUAGAGUAGCUGCAACUAUAGGUGCCUGCCACUAUGCUCACUAAUUUUGUGUAUUUAUUGUAGAGACAAGGUCUUACUGUAUUCCUAGGCUGGUCUCGGACUCCUGGACUCAAGGGAUCUUCCUUCUUCAGCCUCCCAAAGUGCUAGGGUAACAGGCAUGAGCCACCAUGCCCGGCCAAAUAGAUUGGUUUUUAUCAAAGAUGCUGUAAUAUUAAUAUGCAUCUUCCUGCUAUCCCUUCAAAAGUGAGAAUUAAUGUUGUUUUCUUUUCUUUUCUUUUUUUGAGAUGGAGUCUCUCUCUGUCACCCAGGCUGGAGUGCAGUGGCGCAAUCUUAGCCCACCGCAACCUCUGCCUCCCGGGUUCAAGCAAUUCUCCUGCCUCAGCCUUCCGAGUAGCUGGGAUUACAGGGUCUUGCUCUGUCACCUAGGCUGGAGUGCAGUGGUGUGAUCACAGCUCACUGGAGCCUCGACCUCCUGGGAUCAAGCGAUUCUCUCACCUCAACCUUUGAACUUCUAGAUAAGUGGUUCUCAAAGUGUGGUCCUUCAACCAACAGCAUCAUCACCACCCAGGAACUUAUUAGAAAUGGAAGUUCUUGCACCCUGCCAAAACCAGAAACUGCGGAUGGGUCCCAGCAAUCUUUAUUUUAACGACUGUUAAAAUCAGAAUCAAGUGAUUCUGAUGCAAACUUAAGUUUGAAAACAUUGUUCUAUUAAAAGUAAUGGCAAAAACCGCAAUUACUUUUGCACCAACCUAAGAGCUCUGCACUGUUCAAUAUGGUAGCUUCUAACUAUUGAAUUUUUUAAUGCUAUUAUCUCCUUUAUUCAAAAAUAAAUAUUUCACUUUGAUUCAACAUAUUUCAAAUUACAUUAAGCACAGAGAGGAAAUACAUUCCCUUUGGAGAUUGUGAACACGUGUUGGAAAGAGGCAUGAUCCAAAUAAUGGGGAUGAGGUGAGUGUGGAUUCCAGCUGCUUCCUGACCCAGAAGUUCUGCCCCUCUUCAGGUGGAGCUACUUAUCGAUUUUUAGGCGAGAAAAAGACAGACACACACACACACACACACACACACACUGCUUUGAAGUCUGAAAGGCAUAUGAGUGGACCGUAAGGUAUAUGGCACGUUCACUGAUAAAACAUCCCCUACUCCCUCCCAAGAAAAGCAGAGACACUUUAAUCAAGUCAAAGGCCAGAGAAGGGCCUGGUGCAGUGGCUCACGCCUGUAUCCCAGCACUUUGGGAGGCCAAGGCGGGUGAAUCCCGAGGUCAGGAGUUCGAGACCAGCCUGACUCAUAUGGUGAAACCCUGUCUCUACUAAAAAUACGAAAAUUAGCUGGGCGUGGUGGCAUGUGCCUGUAAUCCCAGCUACUCGUGAGGUUGAGGCAGGAGAAUCGCUUGAACCCAGGAGGCAGAGGUUGCAGUGAGCUGAGACUGCACCAUUGCGUUCCAGUCUGGGUGACUGAGCGAGACUCUGUCUCAAAAAAGAAAAAAAAAAAAGCAGCGAAGACAGGGUGCUCCUGCUUAUAGCUCAGCAGCAUGAACAUCUCUGAAUAUGAAAGCCAUUUUUCAUUUGCUUCUACCUCCUGUGCCUCCUUUCCCUGCCGACUGGGUCCGUGGAUGGCC
rnacentral:lncRNA from 1 species